rnacentral:lncRNA from 1 species
AUGCCCUGCCCUAAACCUGCCGGACGGUGCGGGGCUGGGGGUGCUCGGCCCCCCCCUGACUCCCCUCUCCCCUCUGUCCCCUCCCCGGGUGGCCCAGCUGCAGGCGCAGAAGCUGAGGCUGGCGCACAGCCGGGGCCCCUACUACAGCGGCUCGCUGCCCAACGUCAACCAGAUCGGCAGCGGCGUCUCCGACUUCCAGGUGAGUGCACGGGGCACUGCGGGACAAGGGGACGGUUCCUCGUGACCCCCCCCCCGCCCGCCCCGGGUCCGUUUGGGACCCUCGGUCGCGCCCAGGCUCUGAUCCUGCCCCCUCUGCUCCCCGCAGGGCCCCCUGCACUCGCCGCUGGACUCGACGCGCAGCACGCGGCACCACGGGCUGGUGGAGAGGGUGCAGCGGGACCCCCGCCGGAUGAUGUCCCCCCUGCGCCGCUACGUGCGCCAGAUCGACAGCUCGCCCUACGGCCCCACCUACCUGUCGCCCCCGCCGGAGCCCAGCUGGAGGAGGUAAAGACCCCACAGAGCUGCUCCCAGAGCUCUGCCCCCCACCUCCAGCCCCCUCGGUGCCGUGCCCGGGGCCAGACGGGGCCGGGAGGAUUUGGGUGGCUCCCCCUGCGAGGGGAGGUUGGGAAUCACUGGGGGAGCGGGGGCAGCUCUGCCCUGCCCGGUUCCUCCCGGCACUGCCCCCCUGGGGGUGCUUUUAGGGGAAAACGGUGGGGAUUUGGGCACAGAGCAGCCCCUGGCUCUGCUCCGUCCCUCCUGGGUGUUUCUGGAGCCGGUUGGGCUCAGCUCAGCCCUUCGGAGCUCGCUCAGGGCUUCGUUUUCCAGGCUGCCCUUCCUCCUGGUGCCCGGCACAGCUCCUGCGUCCCUCCUCCUCCUCCUCCUCCUCCUCCCGUUCCCGUUCCCGGGGCCGAGCCGUGGCCAUGGGUUGCGGUGGCGGAGCCGCUCCGUGCCGUGAAUUUCAGCCUGGGUCUGUGGCCCUGGCCCCAUCCCGUGCCCCCAGUGCCCUCUGCGCCUCCCAGGGCAGAGCCACUGCUCCAUGAACCCCCCCCAGCUGCCCCCCUGCACCCAUGGCAGGCCCUAAAAAAACCCAUAGCAGGCCCUACAGCCCCCAACAGGAGGUCGGGGGGCUCCCCUCCUCCCCCACAUGGACACUUCAGUGACCCUCUUGCUCCUCGCUCCUUCCCCAGGGCCAAGGAGGGGGGGGGGGGGGCUGCUCGGGGCCCCCUGGUGCUGACCCUUGUGGUGCCGUUGGGGUUUCUCCCUCCGCGGGGCCUCGCUGUCCUCGUGGGGGCCGUGGGGUGUUGUUGAGGGGCUGUGCUCUGCACGGGCCGGCUGCUGGGUGAGUUUUGGGGCCCCGUGGGGCAGCGCCCCCCCCAUAACCCCACUGUUUUUCC